rnacentral:rRNA from 1 species
UACGUAGGGUGCAAGCGUUAAUCGGAAUACUGGGCGUAAAGCGUGCGCAGGCGGCUAUGCAAGACAGAUGUGAAAUCCCCGGGCUCAACCUGGGGAACUGCAUUUGUGACUGCAUGGCUAGAGUACGGCAGAGGGGGAUGGAAUCCGCGUGUAGCAGUGAAAUGCGUAGAUAUGCGGAGGAACACCGAUGGCGAAGGCAAUCCCCUGGGCCUGUACUGACGCUCAUGCACGAAAGCGUGGGGAGCAAACAGG